rnacentral:rRNA from 1 species
GACGAACGCUGGCGGCGUGCUUAACACAUGCAAGUCGAACGGAGUUCCUCGGAUCAAGGCUUCGGCCAAGUGAACUGGAACUUAGUGGCGGACUGGUGAGUAACGCGUGAGGAACCUGCCUUUCAGUGGGGGACAACAGUUGGAAACGACUGCUAAUACCGCAUAAUGUGCCGGGAGGGCAUCCUCCUGGUACCAAAGCUUUAUGUGCUGAAAGAUGGUCUCGCGUCUGAUUAGCUAGAUGGCGGGGUAACGGCCCACCAUGGCGACGAUCAGUAGCCGGUCUGAGAGGAUGAACGGCCACAUUGGGACUGAGAUACGGCCCAGACUCCUACGGGAGGCAGCAGUGGGGAAUAUUGGGCAAUGGGGGGAACCCUGACCCAGCAACGCCGCGUGGAGGAAGAAGGUUUUCGGAUCGUAAACUCCUGUCCUCAGGGAAGAGCAAGAGACGGUACCUGAGGAGGAAGCCCCGGCUAACUACGUG